rnacentral:rRNA from 1 species
GUGGGGAAUAUUGGACAAUGGGCGCAAGCCUGAUCCAGCCAUGCCGCGUGAGUGAUGAAGGCCCUAGGGUUGUAAAGCUCUUUCACCGGUGAAGAUAAUGACGGUAACCGGAGAAGAAGCCCCGGCUAACUUCGUGCCAGCAGCCGCGGUAAUACGAAGGGGGCUAGCGUUGUUCGGAUUUACUGGGCGUAAAGCGCACGUAGGCGGUUUGUUAAGUCAGGGGUGAAAUCCCGGAGCUCAACUCCGGAACUGCCUUUGAUACUGGCAAGCUAGAGUCCGGAAGAGGUAAGUGGAACUCCUAGUGUAGAGGUGGAAUUCGUAGAUAUUAGGAAGAACACCAGUGGCGAAGGCGGCUUACUGGUCCGGAACUGACGCUGAGGUGCGAAAGCGUGGGGAGCAAACAGGAUUAGAAACCCCGGUAGUCC